ACACGAACCGUCCAAACGUUAUUCGGAAUCAUUGGGCUUAAAGGGUGCGUAGGCGGCGCGGUCAGUGAGAUGUGAAAUCCCUCGGCUCAACCGAGGAACUGCGUUUCAUACUGCCGUGCUUGAGGGAGACAGGGGUAAGCGGAACUGAUGGUGGAGCGGUGAAAUGCGUUGAUAUCAUCAGGAACACCGGUGGCGAAGGCGGCUUACUGGGUCUCUUCUGACGCUGAGGCACGAAAGCUAGGGUAGCGAACGGAAUUAGAAACCCCAGUAGUCC
rnacentral:rRNA from 1 species